CAGCCGCCACGGUAAUACAGAGGGUGCGAGCGUUAAUCGGAUUUACUGGGCGUAAAGCGUGCGUAGGCGGCUAAUUGAGUCGGAUGUGAAAUCCCCGAGCUUAACUUGGGAAUUGCAUUCGAUACUGGUAGCUAGAGUGUGGGAGAGGAUGGUAGAAUUCCAGGUGUAGCGGUGAAAUGCGUAGAGAUCUGGAGGAAUACCGAUGGCGAAGGCAGCCAUCUGGCCUAACACUGACGCUGAGGUACGAAAGCAUGGGGAGCAAACAGGAUUAGAUACCCCUGUAGUCCCUGUCUCUUAUACA
rnacentral:rRNA from 1 species